rnacentral:tRNA from 1 species
UGGCACAGUGGUUAAGCGUUUGGCUGCUAAUCAAAAGGUCGGUGGUUCAAAUUCACC